GCUCACAUGAAGAGAGUGAAGUGAGGAGUUUCCUGCAGUGUCUGCCUUAUAUCUCACAGCUCAGCUUUGUCACUCAGACAUCAGAACCUUCAGAAGAAACCAGGUUCUUCAGAAAUCUGUUCUGUGCAGCAGCAAAGAGAGAACAGCAGACAGGAGAGAAGAUACUGGAGCUGUUAGCAUCAGUGUGCACAUAUCAAACAUUCAUUCUUAGACAGAAAUGGUGUGAUUUCCUGAUGGACCUGUACUCUUAUGAGACUAAAACAGGCUUGAGUGUCCUUCCAUCGCUACAGUCAGUUUUCCAGUCAGCUCCUGCAGUCUGGUCUAUAAACCUCUCAGAGAGAAAGACCUCCAUCCUCCUGGAAGUGCUGAAACUCCAACCAGAGAAGAAGCAUUUGCAUCUGACUGGCUGCUCACAUGAAGAGAGUGAAGUUAGGAAACUGCUUCAGUGUCUGCCUUAUAUCUCACAGCUCAGUUUUGUGACACUUUUAUCAAAACCUUCAGAAGAAAUUAGGUUCUUUGGGAAUCUGUUCUGUGCAGCAGCAGAGAGGCAAGAGCAGACAGGAGAGAAGAUACUGGAGCUGUUAUCAUCAGUGUGCAGAUAUAAAAACUUUCCUCUGAGGGAGACAUGGUGUGACUUCCUCAUAGACCUUUACUAUUAUAGGACUAAAACAGGCUUGAGUGUCCUUCCAUCAUUAAAGUCAGUUUUCCAGUCAACUCCACCAGUCUGGUUCAUAAACCUCUCAGAGAGAAAGACCUCCAUCCUCCUGGAAGUGCUGAAACUCCAACCAGAGAAGAAACAAGUUGUGCUGACAGGCUGCUCACAUGAAGAGAGUGAAGUGAGGAGUUUCCUGCA